AUGCUUCCAUUUUAACAAUAUUUCUUGACUCUGCAUUUUAAAAAGUACAAAAUCUUCUAAUUCUUCACAUUGUUCCUCCUCCCACCUCCUGAUUUUUAUUGAUUAUUUCACUUUUACAUUGUCCAGGUUUAUAACAUUCAUGGUAUGUCCUGCAGCCACAAUUUCUGGUUAAUUAGUAUUUGUUUUAUUUAAGCAUAUUUUAGUAUUAGCUCUAUAUUUAAGUUUAUUUAGCUAUUACUUCUAUAUGAGGUAUAUUUAGCUAUUAGUUCUAUACUUAAGAAUAUUUUGGUAUUAGUUCCAUACUUAAGUAUAUUUUCGUAUUCUGAACUUAAGCAUAUUUUAGUAUUAGUUGCAUAUUUAAGUAUUAGUUCUGUAUUUAAAUGAAUAGUUCAAUGCUCACUACCAGUCUUUUACUUCCCAGGGCCUUUCUUGUGAUUCAUUCUCUUACUUGCUGGAUGUUACUGUCAAGCAAUUUUUUCUUCAAGAAGGUUCCAAAGUGCUGCAUUUCACGUUUUCUUCAGGAGAGUGCGGCCAGCUGGGCUUUACUUAAACAAUAACGUGGCUGGAUAAAGGGUCUUGGGUCAUUCUUCUCUUCAAAACUGUGCAGACCUUGAUACUUUAAUUUCUGGGACUAAAAGCUGCUGGAGAUGAUCUGCUUUUUCCAACAGAACGACCAGACACUUGGCUCCAAGUUCAAUGGUCUAAGGGGCCAGGCUUUGGAGCGACCCUUUCUGUAACAGUUUCCUGAAAUAUGGUGUCUUCUUUGAUUUGCAGAUUCAGGGCUUUUUCCUCUUUCUCAGGGAAAUCACCUCAUGCCACACUGUAUCUUUGAUUCUGCAGGCACCAAUUACUCUGGUAUUAUUGGGAUCGUUUUCAGCUAAUUUGUUCCACUCCUUAAAGUUUUAACUUACCUUUAAGAAUAAAUAAGUUAUAAUUCUAUGAUUAUAUAUUAAUGGUUGCAUUGUAAGUAUAUGCUAUUGCUUGGGUUCUCACUUGUUUGAAGACGGAAACCUUGCUUUUCUGGCCUUCCAGCUGGCUCUGGUAAAUCUGUGAGUGACCCCUGGUUCUCCUCCUGUGAAUCUCUGAUCUGCUUGUGUCCCCCUAACCACUUACCCUGACCUGUGGUGGGCAGCCAGGUGUUCUGCAUUCUAGCAUAUUAUGCAGUCUCCUAAGAGAAUGGUGAGUGGUGGGAGAGCUCAUCGAAGAUACUCCCCGAGUUCUGGUCUUUCCUCUAGGAUUGUAAGUAUCCAACGUCAGGGUUUGCUCCAUCUAUCUGGGCAGCAGUCCCCAGCCUUUUGGUACCAGGGACUGGUUUCAUGGAAGACAAUUUUUCCAUGGACAAAGGCAGGGGAGGGAAGAUGGUUCGGGAUGAUUCGAGCACAUUACAUUUUUUAAAUUAAUUAAUUAAUUAAUUUUUAUUUUUGGGGGCACAGUUUUGCUUUUGUUGCCCAGGCUGGAGUGCAAUGGCGAGAUCUUGGCUCACCGCAACCUCCACCUCCUGGGUUCAAGCGAUUCUCCUGCCACAGCCUCCCUGGUAGCUGGGAUUACAGGCAUGUGCCACCACACUUGGCUGAUUUUUUAUUUUUAGUAGAGACGGGGUUUCUCCAUGUUGGUCAGGCUGGUCUCGAACUCCCAACCUCAGGUGAUCUGCCCACCUUGGCCUCCCAAAGUGCUGGGAUUACAGGAGUGAGCCACUGCGCCCAGCCUACAUUUAUUGUACACUUUAUUUCUAUUGUUAUUACACUGUAAUAUAUAAUGAAAUAAUUAUACAACUCACCAUAAUGUAGAAUCAAUGGGAGCCCUGAGCUUGUUUUCCUGCAACUAGAUAGUCCCAUCUGGGGGUGAUGGGAGACAGUGACACCCAACAUGUGUUGCUUGUGUCCAGUCUACUCUGUAAUCACUCUUUGGCUGCUGUCACUGCAGAAAACACUGCUUCACAAAGACAGGAUGUUGGGCGUGGAAGCAGGCUUUCAGUGCUUUUGGGGCAAUCUCAAGAUAUUCUGCCUCAACUUUAAUCCAGAACAUAUGGAGAUUUGAAGUUGUCUCAAACAUACUUUUAAGGCCACUGUCAUUUGCGAUCUCAAGCAGUUGAUCCUCUUCUAGCAUUGGCAAAGGUGAUUCACCUGGCUUAUUCUCAAAUGGGUCACAGAUCCAUUCCUUUCCAGUUCAGGUUCUUUUGUGGUUGGGAAGUAUCGCUCAAGCUCUUCUGAAAGCAGAGGCAGGUGAUCAUGCACCAGCUGGGGGAAAGAAGGCCCUGGAUCCGUCUCUCACAAUCUCUCUAAUGUUUGCAACAUGUCAGAAAUCCCAGUGUUCACUCAUCACCCCUGUUAUUCCAGUUUGGCUUUGAAAGCAGCCACUUGAUCUGCUGACUGGGACACACUUGUCACUCUCCCCUGAAGUGACAGACUGAGUUUGUGAGUAGGUUUAAUCUGUCACACAAGUACACAAGUUUCCUGACCUAUAUUCUGUGUCACUGAAAUGUGCUGCCAGUGGUGACUUUUUCUAGAAGAAAUCUCUGAAGUGGCUGUUGCAACUCAGAAACUCUGGCCAGUGAUGUGCCUUUAGAAAGCAUCUCACUCUGUGUAUCAGAGAAGCCGUGUGUGCUCUGCGUCCAUCUCCUCCGAGGGCUGCAUGAACAGACCUGAGUUAGGCCACGUACUUUAAUGUGGUUGGUAAUUUUAAUCACAUCCUGCAUAAAUGUUGUUAAGUUCAGGUGACACUUUUUGGCUAGCCAGCACUUCUCUAUGGAUGACAUACUGCAUAGACUCACAUUUAGAAGUGACCUCUUUGACCUGAGUAGUGAAACCAGAAAGCUGUCCAGUCACGGCAGCUGCUCCAUCCAUGCAUAUAACACCACAAAACAAAACAGUUCAGUUUCCCUGAUAUGUAAUAAUUCAAAGACUUGAAUGGCAGCCGUGGUGUUGGUUGGCAACUAAAGCACACAUAACAUAUCCUCAUGAACAUCCCCCUGAAAAAUAUGUCACAGAAAAACAAGCCUUGUUGUCUUGUUGUCAACAUCGGUAGACUCCUCAACCUGGAUUGAGUACCACAGUGACUCGUUAAUCCUCUCUAACAACUGUGCCUCAGUAUCUGCUGCUAUUUCAUCAAUCUGCCUAGUUACGGUGCUGGCCGAAAGAGCAACACGUGCCACCUUUUGAACCACAGCCUCUCCUAAAAGCGCAUGACAAACGUCCUUAGCAGCAGGCAGGAUCAACUCUUCACCAACAGCCAGUCCUGGCUUUGGCAAUGCGGUUAGACAUGAAGAAUGAUGCUUUCAGCGCAGACAUAUUUGAUGAAGGGGUGGCCUUCAAUAAUUGCUUCUGUUCUUGAUGUUUACGUUUUUUUCUUUUCAAAACUCCAAAGGCUUGUCUUUUGAUGCAGGGUGCUUGGUCUCCAUGUGGUGAAGCAGUUUGGAAGCUUUCAUGGCUUUGUUGGGUAGUUGGUCACCACAUAUUCUACAAAGUGGGCUUGGCGAAUGUGAUCACCUGUUGAAAUGAACCUAGAAUUUGAGUAGAACUCUUGGCAUUUUCUUUACAAUGCAGCUUUAUUUUUGUUGGCAGUCUUGGCGUCUUCUGCUGUCUCAUCAAUGGGUCUCUCCCCCUUUUCAAAGAAGCUCUCCAGUGACGUUUGGUUUUUACUCAUUUUGGCUAGGGUUGGUGGGUGGGCUUACCAAAACCGUGGCUGAGACAAGUACACAGUGUGGGAAAGAGAUGCGGAUGGCAGUGGUAAAUAAAAUAACGGGCAGGCCAUGCACGGACUGAAAUAAGUGUUGGAUUCUGACUUAAAGCCUGCCACCAGAUAAAGCUGUACAAUUGAAGUACAUCAGCUCACUUGCCACUAUAAAGCCUGCCACCAGAGGCAGGCUAAUUGUCACUUGCCACUCACUGAUAGAGUUCUGAUGAGUCUGCAAGCAACUGAUGUAUUAUUAUGGUCUCUGUGCAGUCAAACCUCUCUGCUAACAUUCAUCUGUACUUGCAGCUGCUCCCCAGCACUAGCAUCACUGCCUCAGCUCCACCUCAGAUCAUCAGGCAUUAGAUUCUCAGGAGGAGUACACAACCUAGAUCUCUGGCCCACGCAAUUUACAAUAGGGUUCGUGCUCCUAUGAGAAUCUAACGCCGCCACUGAUCUGACAGGAUGUGGAGCUCAGGAGGUGAUGUGAGUGAUGGGGAGCAGCUGGCUGUAAAUACAGAUGAAGCUUCCACCGCUCGCCUGCCACUCACCUCCCGCUGUGUGGCCUGGCUCGUAACAGGCCACAGACUGGUACUGUCCUAUGGCCUGGAGUUGAGGACCCCUGUAUUUGGGGAUGGAUAUCAUGCUCACGGGAGACCCUCCAUGGACAGUCUUCCCCAUUGAAUAUACAGUCUUGAGCCUUUACUUAUGUCUAUAACGGCUGCUUUUUUCACUUUUCCCAUUUCACCAAUGUCCACCCAGCAGGGGAUUUUACUACUCCUUGAUCAGGGAGGAAAAAAUAACAAGUCCCGUUCAGUUUGCUUCCUCCCAGACCUGAGAAACCAGCGAGACUGCCGGGUCUCCUCAAAUCCCGGGCCGUGAGGUAGAAACCCUGCACACUGCUCCUGACUGCUGCCCCUGCCACCGCGGCUUCCGCUGCUGCCCAGGGCUGCAGUGCACUGAAUUCGUUCUGCCCCUUCCCCUGCUUGGUUGCUAUUUUUCCCUACUUAUUUUUUUACUAGUCUUUUGCUCUGUUAGGUAAUUCUGUGUGGAAGUUUCAAUCUACCAUCUUAAUUCUGACAGCAUCCUCUCUGUGUCUUAAGAAAUGUAUUCAGCACUUUGGGAGGCUGACGUGGGCGGAUCACAAGGUCAGGAUAUCGAGACCAUCCUGACUAACACAGUNNNNNNNNNNNNNNNNNNNNNNNNNNNNNNNNNNNNNNNNNNNNNNNNNNNNNNNNNNNNNNNNNNNNNNNNNNNNNNNNNNNNNNNNNNNNNNNNNNNNNNNNNNNNNNNNNNNNNNNNNNNNNNNNNNNNNNNNNNNNNNNNNNNNNNNNNNNNNNNNNNNNNNNNNNNNNNNNNNNNNNNNNNNNNNNNNNNNNNNNNNNNNNNNNNNNNNNNNNNNNNNNNNNNNNNNNNNNNNNGCAGAUCACCUGAGGUCAGGAGUUCAAGACCAGCCUGGCCAACAUGGUGAAACCCCAUCUCUACUUAAAAAACAGAAAACAAAACAAAAAAAAACAAAUGUGGUGGCGCACACCUCUAGUCCCAGCUACUCAGGAGGCUGAGAUGGGAGGAUCACUUGAACCCAGGAGGCAGAGGUUGCAGUGAGCUAAGAUCACACCACCACUGCACUCCAGCCUGGGAGACAGAGCGAGACUCCGUCUCAAAAAAAAAAAAGUAUUUUUCUCUGUAUUUCCAUUGCUUGAUAAAAUGCUACACUUUGCUGAAUUAAGGAUUAAGGUGACACCACUACGGUCGGCAUCACGAAAAACCACAAGAUUCUAGAAUCUCGUAGCAUUGCUAUAGGAUUGUCCAGGACUUAGGAGUACACCACUUAGAUGCUUAUGUAUCAUUUUGACCCAGAAAAUAGCGAGACAAAUUCAGACACGAUGUUAAAGACAUCGUUAGUGUAGGUGUCUUCAGAAAAAAGGCAAAAUAUAGGGCAGAAGGGUGAACAAAACAGAAAAAAUUGUACCAAGAUGUUCACAGUGGUACUUUGGGGGUGAAGCAGAAAGCAGCUUUCUUUUUAUUAUUUUGCAGAUAUUUGAAGUGUAUUACUCUCAUAUGAAAAGACUAUAACAACAGAAAAGCAAAGCCAGUGCAGAACUUGCAGGGCAUGAGCUGAGCCCCUACAACAUAUGAAAUCCCGGCCAGAAUUCCCUUCACAGUGAUUUACUAUCCUCAGUCACCAAACCAUCAGAAGGAGCGGCUCUUGCCUGCAGCCUGAUGGGCUACAAAGUGCAUUCCCUGGGUGAGAAACUGCAUGGGCAUGAUGUCCGUGGGGAUGGAGAACAACGCUAAGUGUUAGACACGACGGAAACCCAUCUUCACACCUCACAGCAGAAAAUGCCAAGGCGUGUACCUGUUUCUUGGUCCUAAAUAAGUGACUGGUGAAUAUAGUCAGGAUUUCAAUGUUUUACUUAAGCCCCG
rnacentral:lncRNA from 1 species